ACUUCCACUCCAACAGAGAUACGUUGUUUCCCAACAGCUUUUCCUUCCUGAACUUCUCAUUCCCAAAAAGGCAGGAAUAAGAAAAGAGCUAGAACUUCAAGGUCCAUGACUCUCACCCUUCAUGCCUCUCUAUUAAAAUGGUUUGUUCAGGAAGUUUCCUUCAGACCAGCUGACCACCCCAAUUUGCACACGCUGAGGAUGGGAUCUGCAGCCUACUCUUCUAUCAAACUCUCCACAGUGCGUUUAAGGUCAGCAACAUUUCGGAUCCACGGUGGCCCGAGGUCCUGGCAUGCCUUGGAACACACACCCUCCUCAUCAGCUGGUUCAGCUCCAUCUCUUUCCAAGCUUAGAAGCUGAGCCCAGGGACAGGGCCAUCGGCCACCAGUCACACUGCUGUGCAGAGGCAGAACCAGCACCGAAGCUCAGGUCUCCUAGUUUAUUGUCACAUCCCCUGUGUGUCUCCAGAAGCCAUGCCAGUUCACAGGCUGAGAUUCCUGUCUGUAUUUCUGUGUGGAGAACACUUUGCUACUCUCCCCAUUCCCUUCAGGUCAGGGCCACAGGUCUGCCUUGUUGAGAAGUCCGCUGGAGUCUCACCCUUACAUUUGCCUCCAGGUAGUUUUUAGUAUGCACCGGUUUUGUCUGGAGAAUAAUGUCUUGCUUUUCUUAUUUAAGUGGAAAAUAAUUAACUUCCUAAAUGUUUAUUUAACUUUAAACUGCAUUAGUUAGAGCUCAUUAAAAUAUUUAGGAUAAACUGACAAGCUGAAAUCUUAAGAAUUAUUGACUUUAAAAUGCAUUCACCAUUAAAUACAAACGUUGUAUAUUCUAUGGAAGCAUAACAUUAUCUAACAAAAUGUUCAAACACCUUUCACUAACCUCCUGUUAUUGAAGCUGUACACUAUUUCAUGAUGCCAUCACCAUGGGAGGAUAUAUGCUUACACUGGAAAAGGUACAAUAAAUAAUUUUUAUACUUGUACCUCCAAAUUCUGAAAAAUACACUUUUUAUUAAGCAAAAAUUAGUUUAUUUGACAUCCAAAUGACACCACUAAGGAACUACUAAGGAUUCCCUGGGGAAAUGGCUGACUCCACUACUGGGGCUGGACAUGGAGAAGAUGAGUCUGUGAUGUCUUGUCUUGCAAACAAGAAAGGAUGCCGCACUAGGACCAUGUCCAAAGGACAACAGUGCCAGUACAGGGGCUCCUACUGGACAAAUACGGGCAAUCCUAGCCCGAGGUGACACUGGGAUGGGCCCUGCUGAUCUACACUCGAGACCUCACCCAGCUCUUUCUCCAAGGCACCUGCUUCUCACAGCAUCUGGUCAAGUCGCCUGUGUUUCGGGGGUACCUGUGUCUUCUUCCAUCUCCUGCCACCCCUCCCUGAACUGGGACGCUUGUUCAUGUCCUUUCUCUCUACCAUGACAAUGCGGCUGGUUAACAGUAGGAGCACUGUCUUAUACGUCACUGAUUCUUGGUUGCUAGGAUAGUACUUUGCUUAUGUUAGGUGAUCAAUGAUUAUUUAAAGAUCAGUAAAGAUCAAUCUGCACUUUGAAUGUGGGUCUCCAUGACUGGGAUGCAGAAAUUCCAAGGAGUUGCAGCUAUAGAAUAAAUUGAAGAGUAUUGGUU
ensembl:lncRNA